GACGAACGCUGGCGGCGUGCUUAACACAUGCAAGUCGAACGGAAAGGCCCUGCUUUUGUGGGGUGCUCGAGUGGCGAACGGGUGAGUAACACGUGAGUAACCUGCCCUUGACUUUGGGAUAACUUCAGGAAACUGGGGCUAAUACCGGAUAGGAGCUCCUGCUGCAUGGUGGGGGUUGGAAAGUUUCGGCGGUUGGGGAUGGACUCGCGGCUUAUCAGCUUGUUGGUGGGGUAGUGGCUUACCAAGGCUUUGACGGGUAGCCGGCCUGAGAGGGUGACCGGCCACAUUGGGACUGAGAUACGGCCCAGACUCCUACGGGAGGCAGCAGUGGGGAAUAUUGCAUAAUGGGCGGAAGCCUGAUGCAGCAACGCCGCGUGUGGGAUGACGGCCUUCGGGUUGUAAACCGCUUUCGCCUGUGACGAAGCGUGAGUGACGGUAAUGGGUAAAGAAGCACCGGCUAACUACGUG
rnacentral:rRNA from 1 species